rnacentral:tRNA from 3 species
UAGCUCAGUUGGAUAGAGCAACGGCCUUCUAAGCCGUGGGUCGCAGGUUCGAAUCCU